rnacentral:rRNA from 1 species
GACGUAGGGCGCGAGCGUUGUCCGGAUUUAUUGGGCGUAAAGAGCUCGUAGGCGGCUUGUUGCGUCGGCUGUGAAAACCCAUGGCUCAACCGUGGGCUUGCAGCCGAUACGGGCAGGCUAGAGUUCGGUAGGGGAGACUGGAAUUCCUGGUGUAGCGGUGAAAUGCGUAGAUAUCGUAAGGAAGACCAGUGGCGAAGGCGGGUCUCUGGACAGUUCCUGACGCUGAGGCACGAAGGCCAGGGGAGCAAACGGG